rnacentral:snRNA from 1 species
GGAUGUGAGGGCGAUCUGGCUGCGACAUCUGUCACCCCAUUGAUCGCCAGGGUUGAUUCGGCUGAUCUGGCUGGCUAGGCGGGUGUCCCCUUCCUCCCUCACCGCUCCAUGUGCGUCCCUCCCGAAGCUGCGCGCUCGGUCGAAGAGGACGACCAUCCCCGAUAGAGGAGGACCGUUCUUCGGUCAAGGGUAUACGAGUAGCUGCGCUCCCCUGCUAGAACCUCCAAACAAGCUCUCAAGAGUUAGACACAACCGACUGAGCCUUUAAAUAAUUAAAUUUUAUUUAUUAUUUAUUUAUUUAUUUAUUUAU